GCAGUCAUAGCCUAGUGGAAAAGGUGAUUGACUUGGAGAUUAAAAGGUCGCCGGUUCGAUCCCUAGUUCCA